UUACUUUUAACUGGAUCUUCUCUGGGUUUAUUCGUCAAACAUUACGUGGACAAUAAGAGGCAUUUGAUAGUUUGUAUUAACCUAAAAGCAAUUGAUCAUCCUCCCUCAAAAUGUUUAAUUGGUCAUAUGACUGAUGGUGAGCUGCAACCUCCAGCGGAAGGCAAGAAGGAAGCCUUGCCAGUGAAACAGCUGCCAUUAGAGUUUAAGAUGCAACAGAAGACAGUGGUUCUUGCAGCCCAAAAACCUCCUUCCAAUGACUUGAUCGCGGAGCAGAACUUACAACAGUUCCACGACUAUUCUCAGGCUUCUUGAAUGGAAGAUAUUUGGUGUAGGAAAAGGCUUCAAUUUUGUAACCCUUUCAAGGCAGAAGGAGAAAGAGAGUCUGGCAAGCAAGUAUAUAAAGUUUCCAAUUGUUGAGUCCCUCCAGCCCCCAGGUGCAAGCUAAGAGUCUUCAAUGUUUUUGAGUUGCAUACUUCCUUCACAACGGCUUCCACAGAAUCAUCCCAUCUCUUGUCUGCCGGAUUCACAUCAAUGCUUAAUUUAGCAAGUUGCGAGAGAAUUGAUAUUGUCUCAGGAUCCAUGAUCUCUGUUUCAUCAAGAUCAAGAUCCUCGAGAUUUUUGAGUUUACCAACCUGAGGUGACAGUUCCAUGAAGAGUUCACAAUUUCG